CUUCUAUUCUUCUCUCAACCCUAACCCCCACCACUCUAUCACUUCUUAGCUUGAAAUUUCUAGAUCUACUCCCACGCUCGAAGAUUUUCCUCAAUUUCAAGAAAUACAACAAACUGUAAACGAAAUCAAAGAAUUUGAGGUCUUGUUGUGGUCUAUGAAUUGAUGUCCGUCGGCAAUGCCAUUAUUUCAGAUACGUCUUUUGUUUCUUUCUCUAGUUUUUUCCCCAUUUUUAGUUCUCCUGACUUCUCCGAUUAAGGUUUCGUUUUGGUUCGAACAUUUUAGGUUUUCCGCAAUUUUCAUAUAUUUUUGGUUGUUAGAUUUUACGGAUAUUAAUCUCUCAUAUGUGUUCAUCGGACUCCAAUAUGUCCAAUUAGGGUUUUCAAUUUUUUUUAAAAAUUUCAGUUUAAGCAUAGGAAAUUUGGGAAAGAAUAAUAGAACUUAUUGCGUAGAUUCGAAUUUUAAGCUAUUUGUUCUUAGUUAAAUGAACCUGUUUUUGACUGGGUUAACGGUGAUGUUAAUGAUGUUAAUACGUUGCAAUUUGAAUUGUAUUGUGAGUUUCUGACGAUAAAUCUUGGGAGUACUAAUACUCCAUAUUUAAAUGGUGAUAAAAUUAGGAACUUUUUUUACAAACUGAUACUUCAGGAUUUUGUUAUCAUCUUUCGAUAUUUCUAAAACUAAUAUGGAAACAAGAAGAUUUAUAUUCAUAUUGCUAAGUUUUCUGUAGGACUUAAAAUGGCCUGUCUAGAUGAAUUAGCUACAGGAAAUGCAGUAGUAGUUUCUUUGUGAUUGGAGAUAAACUAUAGGAAAUGCAAUAGUAGUUGUAGUUUGGUUAAAAUAUAAAAUAAAUUUCUUGGAAUCUAUUUAUUGAUGUAUUAGUCCUUUAGAUUGAGCGAGGAUUUAACUCAAUCUAAUUUAGAAACGAUAAUGCUAACAUGUAAUCAUCUACUUGACAAGUAUACUCAACUUACUUCAGAUAUUUCUAUCAGGUCCUAAAUGCUAAUUAGUUGAAUUUGGGUAAUUAUACUUUGUUGGGGGUGGUAACUACACACUAUGGGUAUAUUUAAUUGUUGAAGUAUAUUUGAUAGGUGGUUUUGUUUCUGGUAUAGGUUGAAGGAAAUGAUCUUUGAUCAUUAGCAUGAAUGAGCUUUCCAUUACACUCCUUUGGGGAGAGCCAUUCUUGGACCUGCUGAGAUUGUCAAGGCUAUCACUAAAACGCAUCUCCAUGACGAUCAUUGCCGCCUGUGGAGAUGUUAAACGCGAGGAUAUUGUAGCGCUUGUAGAAUUUGUUUUUACAAAGUUUCAACGGAUCCAACCACCGCUGCUCAAUUAGUUGUCCAGGAACCAACCUCAUUAACUGGUUCAGAGGUUAGAAUGAUUGAUGAUGAUGUUGAGUUGGCCCAAUUUACUAUUGCUUUCAAUAGAGUAUCAUACACAGUUCUGAUGAGGUCUCCUUGAUGGUCAUGCAGACAAUGUUGACCUCUUGGACCAAAAAUACUGGUGGCAUGAAGCAUAAUGGGAAUGACGGUAAGUUACUUCUGCAUGCCUAGAGGAAAUGUUUCUAUGUCAGGCCUGCCAUCUAUGACAAAGCAGUUCAAGAUCAAAUAUUAUGUGAUGAAGGACGCCUAUGCCUAUUUUGUAGUUCAAGUUUAAUAGCACAUGGUCAUAGGAAUCUUUGGUUGCAAUGUGCAAGCUGAAGGAAGAGAUUGACAUAGAAAAUAGUAGAACUAAAGGGGAUGAUGGAAACCAUGAUAUAUAAAGACCUGGAAUUGUGCAUCAGGGGAAAAAAUAAUGCGUGGGUUGUCGCUUGGGUAUUGAGAGGAAAAGAGCUCUGUGUGGUUUUGGAGAAAGCCAACGAAACACUUCUUUAUGCAUCAUAUGCCAUUGAGAAGUUUAGCAACAGGUGAUCAUUGUGGGUCGCUUCUGCCAGGUCAUCACACAUUUGAUGUGAUAAUUCAAGUUCCACAAUUUUCUUUUCGCUUGGUGUAUAUUUAUUGAAGGUUCAAACUGAUGGGGAAGUCUGUAAAUGGUUAAAUAGGUACACGCUAAUGCAAACAUGACAAUCACGCUUGUAGGUAACAAUUGUGAUCGUGGAAGGUGAAUAGUUUCCCAAGGGACAUGGAUUUUUUAUUAUGAGUGGUGUGCAAAAACAGCUCCAAAUAAGGGUGAAGUUGUAAGAUUUGUGUUAAAGAUGAAUGACCGUGUGAUUCAAGUCUCAAGUAUCCUGGCUAUAUAUGGAUCCAUAAUACAAAGAAGUUCUAUUAUAGAGAUUACUCAAGUAGGUCCAAAUCCGCAAAUAAUGAGAAACUUCAUCAAUCCGCAAAUAAUGAGAAGCUGCAUCAAUGCUUGCAAACGAGAGAAGCUUUAAUUAAUUUAAAUUUCUCAAUGCUUCUAAUGUAAACAAUUUUGGAGGAAGUAUGCCUUGAGAGUAUAAAAUAUUUAUGGUGUUGUAAUUAUUUUUUGUUGUUACUAUAUCAAUUUUGAAAACAUUCCUUGUAAGACUCAAUCAAGACUUAUUUUGUACUCUAUAUCAUUAAUAAUGAAUAGAAUUCAACAUU